GUUUCCUCACAGUCCACACCUGCCCGCCUGCCCAGCGCCUGCACCUUAGCAAGAUGCCGAGGACGCGUUUUAGUGAAAUGAAGGUGGCAUUCAUAAGUUUUUGGUGACAUUCUUGGUUUCAUGAGGAGGAUAAACUAUAUAUGGAGUAAAACUUCACAUGGAGAGAUGUCUGGAUUUUUGGUAAUUCCCCCCCGCCUCUGCAGGUCUGUAGCCACUAGUGGGUUGUCUUACUUGAAGCGUGUGCCUGGGUUGGCUUUCCUGUCUAUCAUCUGCACAACUCUUUUUCUGGCUUCCAUCCAAGACAGAAGCAAUUGA
rnacentral:lncRNA from 1 species